rnacentral:lncRNA from 1 species
GUCUUGGACACAGGAGUUGACUCUGUGCAGAGGCUACUUGGUCCCAAAAAUUUGAUGUGAGUUAGAAGACAACAAUAUUACAGGCUGUUACUGAUUUCUCUGGAAGACAAUGUGAUGCAUCCCAGAACAUUUUUGCUGUUGUGGUCAGUUCACUAAAACAACAAAAUGAUUUUGGUGCCACUCUGUGGGCUUCGUUAAGACACACAUCUCCAUGAUGGAGCUUGGAAGCCAGAGGUUUAGGGUUUAUUUUCAAUAUGAGUUGAUGUAAUGGUGGGUUCAGGAAUUAUUUUUCUCAAGAGUAUUCAGUUAACCAUGGUCUUAAACUAGGUUUCAGGCAUUAUUCAUAUCAAGAAUUUCAGUGAAGUCAAGUCAAAACACUUCACUGUAUAAGUAAGUACAACCUGUAGUAAACAAAAUGAUUUAAAAAAUACUGUGAAAUGCCACACAACCUGAUGAAACAGCAUUUGUGGGAACUGGACUUACAUUGCUAUAUCCAUUAGAAAUGUCUAAUAAUUUCUAGUAACAUAAGUACUUUUCUCUCCCUGACAGUGUA